UUCAUCAGGGCCCGUGCCCCCCCGCCCGGCCCAGACCCGAGCACAGGCGGGAACCGGCGGCGGCGACCCUCGGCCGUCCGGCGUCGCAACGAGCCUCAACCCUCUCUCUCUCUACCACCGUCCGGCGCUAGCGCCUCUCCCAGAUCCGGCCGCCGCGCGCCCGAAGAACCCCGCCCCCCCUCCUCGACGGACGCCCGGCGAGAUGCCGCGCGACCGCGACGAGCCGGCGGCCGUGCGCGUCUACACGGUCUGCGACGAGUCCAAGUACCUCGUCGUCCGGAACGUGCCGGCCCUCGGAUGCGGCGACGAGCUCGGCUCCGUGUUCGCGGCGUACGGCCCGCUGGAAGAGUGCAAGCCCAUGGACGCCGAGGACUGCGAGGAGUACACCGACGUCUACUUCAUCAAGUUCGCGCAGGUCAGCAACGCGAGGUUUGCAAAGAGGAAGUUGGACGAGUCUGUAUUUCUUGGCAACCGGCUGCAGGUUUCAUAUGCACCUCAGUUUGAAAGUCUUCUGGAUACCAAGGAGAAACUGGAAGUCAGGAGAAAUGAAGUCCUCAGACGAAUAAGAUCACCUGCUGGAAGCAGACCUGAAGGGCUAUCACAGUAUUCACCGGGUCAGGGAUCAUCUAGUGGGAACCCACACCAUCAUAUGAACUCCAACAAGAGGGAAUACAUGAAGACAAUGCCCGCUACUCAUAUCGAAGAUGAUCGUUUCAGCCAUGUGCCCUCUAAUAAGAAAAUCUGGGAAAGAAACUUUAAUCAGUUAAGCUGCAUUUUGACCAGAAAGCCAACAUUAAUGCACUAGCUCAUAUACAAAGUACCACCUGAGCAGGGCAAAAUCUCUACUACCUUUGUUAUCGACUAUUUCCCGUCCGAGUCGAUGAAUGCAACUGUAAAUCUAGUGAGGCAGAAGCUUGACAAGAUACAGUCCGGCGGCGACGCUCCCGAUGCUGCUGCCGCCGCAUCCAAGAAACCACGGGCCGAUAACCGCAGGCGUAUUUGAACCAUUGGAUGACACAGGUGAGGAGUAACCGUGACCCAAUCGCUUGCUUGUUAUGUGCGUUAUAAACGCACCGUCUUUCUCAUGACAGGUCAACUCAACACACUGUGAUGUGAAUCCGAAGACUUUCGCCGUUUGAUUUUUUAUUUUAUUUUUUGCUACUCCGAUUUAUUUAUUUGCUUACUCUAGAAAAUAUGUUUGUAAGUAAGAGUGUAAGACAUGGUCUCUUCUAGAAGCGAUGUGGUAGUAGCAACUCUUUUUUUUUUGGACAUAAUGUGGUGGUAGUAGCAACUUAAUUAUGCUGAUGUGGAUGCUGGUGGUAGCCAGACAGCUCUAGCAAGCUAGGCAUGUGUCUUUUGGCUGAGCGGUUGGUGUUGCCUGUGGUUGCAAUUUAAAACGGUGUCCUCUCUAGGAAUUUCAGAAGGAAAUAAUAAU